ensembl:lncRNA
AAAGCUAUGAAUGUAUGUAUCUGUUUAGAAAAGAUCUUUAUGGAAACAAGAUAUUAAUGAAUGUGAGAAGAAUCCGUGUAAGAACAAUUCCACUUAUACUGGCCUGUAUAAAAGCUAUGGGAUCUGGGGUGUGCUGUGGAAUUGACAUGGAUGACAAUGAUGGUGACUGUGAAGAAGAGGCCCACAGUUUUAGAUGUGUUUGUGAUCCAGAUUUCCUGGACCUCUAUGUGAAAUUGAAAUUAAUGAGUUUUCCUCAAAACCAUGCAAAAAUGAUGGAACACAUGUGGAUCUAGAAAACAGGUACCUGGAGGAGGCCUUUGGUUGCAAUCUUAUCUGCAAUCAAGUCAGUUACCCUCAUCCUAGACUAUUAUUUUUAACUUUCUAUUUUGGUUUUAG